rnacentral:misc_RNA from 1 species
CAGAGUUGCAAAACUCCCAACCCUUUGUGAACGUACUGAAAAGUUGCUUCGGCGGGAGGCUCCUCAGGGAGCGGACCGCCGGAGGAAUCCAACUCUUGUUUUUUUGGCAUCUCUGAGUAGCUUAUAAAUAAGUUA